ACCUCUCAGGGGAACCUGUCUCAUAAUCGACAAUCCGCGUUAAACCUAACCCUCUAUGGCAAUACAGCCUGUAUACCGUCGUCGUCAGGUAACUUCUUAAAAUAUAUUAGUUAGCUCGAGAAUAUUAUUAAUUGAAACGUCAGAUCAAGGUGCAGCUAAUAAGAAGGUGAGGAUGGGUUACAAUUACAAAUUUGUAAUUAUGGAAAGGUACUUGAAACUUAAUACCAUGAAAGAGGACUUGAAAGUAAUUUUAAGUAUAUAAAUAAAAUGAAUAAGGCUCUGAAACGUG
rnacentral:rRNA from 1 species